rnacentral:tRNA from 1 species
GCUUCAGAAGUGUUUACGUGCACAUUAGAUUUUCAUUCUAAAAGUAUAGACUUGGUUUAUCUAAAGUA